ensembl:lncRNA
UGGAAAUAAGAGGAUCUUCUAAAGCUGCAGUGAUGUGGCCCAGAUCACCUUUAGAGAAGAAGGGGGCAUUUAAAGAGGCAUCUCGAAGUAGAUCAGGUUCUUAUUCUGGGACUAAAGAGAAGCCAAAAAUGCACUCUAGUGAGAGCAGUUCAGAUUCUUCCCCAGAGUGGAAAGAGAAAUCUGAGAGCAGAUCUGUGUCGCAGCUCAGACCAAGAAUAAAAUCAAAAACACCUCCAAGACGCAGAACAUUAAGGUCACCACCUAGUUUUAGACCAAAACCCAGAACUCCAAAGCAUGGCAGGUCUGGGUCUCCACCAAGACCUAACUUGAAGUCCAGAACGCCUCCAAGACGCCAUAGGUCUGGCUCAUCUCCUAGACCCAAAAUAAAGUCUAGAACACCACACAGACAACAUAGAUCUGGGUCAUCCCCAAGGUCCCAAAUAAAAUCCAAAACACCACCCCGAUACCACUGCAGAGCCAGAUCAUCUCCAAGAUCUAGAAGGAAAUCUAGAACCCCUCCACGAUGUAGGUCUGGAUCACAGGCAAGAGAAAAGUCUAGAACACCAGUUACAAGAAGACUGAGAUCUGUAUCAGGGAGUCCUAGAUGCAAAUCUCGAACACUUCCAAGAUGUGGACGGUCUAGAUCACUCUCCAGAGAAAAAUCAAGCACCAGCACACAUCCACAUCAGUCUGAGUCAUCAUCCAAUGGUGACAGGCCCAGAACUUCUUUGCAACAAGAAAGAUCUGGCUCUCCCUCAUGGAGGGGUCACUCCAGUUCACUCUCCAGGCGACAAGAUAAAUCUUGGGGUUUGUUGCGGAGGGAACAAUCAGUUUCCUCUCCAGCUAGAAGCUGCUCAAGAUCCUUUUCUCAGGAGAAAUCUAAACUACCACACAGAGGUAAUUCCCAAUCGUCAGUACAGAUGUUGCAAUUGUCCCCAAAGAGGACUGCAACAAGUUGGAAUGCAUCCUGUUCACCUCCCAGAUUAGAUACAUCAUGUGUAACAGCAUCAUAUAAAGGCACUGGGUCCAGAGUAUCCCCUGAUUGUCAGUCAUCUCCUGUGAGGAAGCAUUCCAGAUCAGGCACCCAGGAAGCCUAUACAUCUCCAAGAAGAAAGUCUCACUCUCCUCUUGUUCUAGAGAGAUAUCCCAAGUCUGACCUCCAAGAGAAGCCAGCAAGCUCCUCUCUUUGGCACAGCAAAAACAACAUUGCCAUUCCUUGUGCUUUAACUCCACCUUGUGAGGAAUCUCAUAAAUUGCGAAAGGAUCCAUCUAUACUACAUGACUUGCCUUCAGUAUCAAACAAUGGUGACUCCAUAGCCAUCCAAAACAGUUCAGGAGAUAGGAAUCAGAGCAUGCAGCAAGCUAUAAUUAAAGAUGAUGUAGAAGUUGGUGCACCUUUGUCAGGGAGAAGCAGUUGUCAUGCAGGCUCCCUCUCUCCUGUAAAAGCUAAAUGGUUGUCCCACUCCUCCUCUUCCUCCUCUGCUUCUUCAAGCCCCUUACCAGCAUUGAUUUCUGUCCUAGUGCCAUCCCCCAAAGAAGAGGAGAUUGUGUCUGAAGGAAAAGUAGCAGACAGGUCUGAGGUGCACUUGCCUACCCUUGAGGCUGAGUCACAGUUGGCUUCUGUCACCAUGGAGGAUGACACCAGGAGCAGCUGUCCCACAGUCCUACAACCUGCUCUUCCCUCUCCUCCACCCUCUGCCCCUUCAAAGGCAAAGAGAAGUUCACCUGCUUCAUCUACCAGUUCAUCAUCAUCCUCUUCUUCCUCCUCAUCCUUAUCUUCAACUUCUGAUUCUGAGUCCAGCUCAUCUGAAUCCAGUCCCCAUGAUCAGGCAACAAAGGAUCUUGAGGCUAAGAUUGAACUGAAACACCCAGUGCUGAAAGAGACUAAUCAUGAUGAGCAACCUCUGGAAAUGGGCAAACGUAAGUGUCGUUCUCAAAGCUCAAGCAGUUCAAGCAGCAGCUCUUCCUCUUCAUCCUCAUCCUCUUCUUCAUCUUCGUCCUCUUCAACGCCACUGCCUAAAACAGGACUUCAGGCGGUGAUGAAGGGUCCCCUAAAGAAGAAACCAUCUCCAGGAAAGAGAAAAGACAGGUCUAGGGAUAGGUCCCUGCGGAGAAACAGACGAAGCAUCAGCAGGUCUCCAGGACGAAAACAUCAACACAAAUCUCCCAGUCCCCGAGCUCCUCGUCGCAGAACUUCAAGGUCCCCGUAAGCCUUUUGGAGAGUGGAAUGUCCUUGUCCUCACAACCACAGACUGCACCAUCCCCAGCGUCCAGUGCUAUUCCAGUUGGGAGUCCCCCACCUACUGAUGUCCACUGAAAACCAGUGUGUUUGCAUUGGGGGGAGAGUGAAGUGGAGGUCUCUUCAUUUGCCAUCACCUUUAUAUUCUCAUUAGUUUUUUCCUUUACUGUCCCUGUCUUUAUUGCCCAUCAUUUGUCGGCAGCUACCUUCCCCAUGUCCCUGGACAUUUCUGCACAACACCUGCCAGGAUCCAAAAGCUUCUAUGCUCCUCUUCCAACAGUUGGUGAUGUUCAUUUGAUUUUUUCCCUCCUGUGAGCAUUUUUUUCCCUGUGCAUUUUGCAGCUAAAAUCUAUACUAACAACCCAGAAUUAGAUGGAAGGUAGUGCUUUCUAGUAGCUCCUUUCUCUGUUCCCCACUUUCUAUCAAGCUUUUCUGAAGAAAGGCAGGCAGCUUCUUUCAGUAGCCUGUAACAGUGGAGUCGAUCCUUGGCAGUGGCAACUAUUCCUGCUCCUCCACCCCCCAAGAACAAAAUGAAUUUAAUAUGCAGCACUUUUUUUCCUUUUUCCUCCUCAAGGGAGACUCACUCAUAUUUAUUAGCUGAGCCAGGUCAUGAGGGGUCAAGUUUGAAACUGGAACAGGGGCUUUCAGGCAUUUUAGGGGGAAGGUGACAAAGUGUGCUGAGAAGAAGCUGAGAAACCCUAAAUCAGGGAGGGUGGGAACAGAAGUUUUUUCAUAUUUCUGAAAAGCAUUUAAUUUUUUUUAUAUGUACAGCAAGGAGAUUUUUUUUUCUGUCAAAUAAACUUA